rnacentral:rRNA from 1 species
UACGGAGGGUGCGAGCGUUGUCCGGAAUCACUGGGCGUAAAGGGCGCGUAGGCGGCCUGAUAAGUAGGGGGUGAAAUCCUGCGGCUUAACCGCAGGGCUGCCUUCUAGACUGUCAGGCUAGAGCACAGUAGAGGCAGGUGGAAUUCCCGGUGUAGCGGUGGAAUGCGUAGAGAUCGGGAGGAACACCCGCGGCGAAGGCGGCCACCUGGACCAGACCUGACGCUGAGGCGCGAAGGCCGGGGGGAUCAAACAGG